CAAUGCAUCAAUGAAACCGUCCCUCUAUCUCUCUUCACGGUCCUCCCUCUCUCUCUGUACAGCCAGUGAUGCCCCUCCCUCUCUCUCUCUUUGUGGUCCUUGGUCUCUCUCUGUGCAGUCAUUGAAGCCCCAUCUCUAAAGGUUCCAAGGGUAUCAUUGCUCUUUGUUAUUCCUGCUUUUGGAGUUGUGGUUGGAUGGGAUGGCGAUGGUUCUCCAAUUAAAGAAUCAGAUGAGAGCAUAACUCAUCAGGUUCAAGGACAUUGCGGCAAUGAUUACUUCCACUUGGUGUAUUACUGCAACUACCAUAAUUGUCAUCUUCAUUGACAUGGCUCAUGGCAUUGUCCUAUGGACGUCUCUUACACACAAACUUUUCAUCAAACUGACGAAUUCUAUUUUGUAUUAUGGACAUUACAAACUCAUGGCCCUCUACACUUUGUGAAGCACAUUCGGCAAGGGAUCGACUUGCCUGCAUAGCCUCCUUAUAUCUAAUGGAGCGUGGUAGUUCAGAUGUUACUUGAAUUUGUUCCCCAAUGUCAUGAAGAAAAACUCUAUUCUUUACAUCAUUUGUCCAACA